rnacentral:rRNA from 1 species
UAGUCCACGCCGUAAACGAUGGUUACUAGCUGUUUGUCUUUCGGGAUGAGUGGCUAAGCGAAGGUGAUAAGUAACCCACCUGGGGAGCACGAUCGCAAGAUUGAAACUCAAAGGAAUUGACGGGGGGCCCGCACAAGCGGUGGAGCAUGUGGUUUAAUUCGAUGAUACGCGAGGAACCUUACCAGGGCUUAAAUGUGGAUUGACAGGUUUAGAGAUAGACUUUUCUUCGGACAAUUCACAAGGUGCUGCAUGGUUGUCGUCAGCUCGUGCCGUGAGGUGUCAGGUUAAGUCCUAUAACGUAGCGCAACCCCUGUUGUUAGUUACCAGCACGUAAAGGUGGGGACUCUAACAAGACUGCCGGUGCAAACCGUGAGGAAGGUGGGGAUGACGUCAAAUCAUCACGGCCCUUACGUCCUGGGCUACACACGUGCUACAAUGGUAGGUACAGAGAGCAGCCACUACGCAAGUAGGCGCGGAAUCUAUAAAACCUAUCUCAGUUCGGAUCGGAGUCUGCAAC